rnacentral:rRNA from 1 species
GAUCCUGGCUCAGGAUGAACGCUGGCGGCGUGCCUAACACGUGCAAGUCGAGCGAAGCACUUUGCUUAGAUUCUUCGGAUGAAGAGGAUUGUGACUGAGCGGCGGACGGGUGAGGUAACGCGUGGGUAACCUGCCUCAUACAGGGGGAUAACAGUUAGAAAUUGACUGCUAAUACCGCAUAAGACCACAGCACCGCAUGGUGCGGGGGUAAAACUCCGGUGGUAUGAGAUGGACCCGCGU